AUUGAACGCUGGCGGCAGGCCUAACACAUGCAAGUCGAACGAGUGGCGGACGGGUGAGUAAUGUCUGGGAAACUGCCUGCUGGAGGGGGAUAACUAAUGGAAACGGUAGAUAAUACCGCAUACCAUCAGAUGUGCCCAGAUUGGAUUAGCUAGUAGGUGGGGUAAGGGCUCACCAAGGCGACGAUCCCUAGCUGGUCUGAGAGGAUGACCAGCCACACUGGAACUGAGACACGGUCCAGACUCCUACGGGAGGCAGCAGUGGGGAAUAUUGGACAAUGGGCGCAAGCCUGAUGCAGCCAUGCCGCGUGUGUGAAGAAGGCCUUCGGGUUGUAAAGCACUUUUAGCGAGGAAGCGUUACUUGCAGAAUAAGCACCGGCUAACUCCGUGCCAGCAGCCGCGGUAAUAC
rnacentral:rRNA from 1 species